UCUGUACGACCUUUACAUCAGUCACACGAAGAGCAGGACAAAGCAGCCAUAAACAGAGGUACAAAGAGAUGAAGUCUCACCGGAUUACAACCAUCGUCCUUGGGUUUAUCAGCACGCUUGCUUUUUGGAUGCCCUCUGUGCCCGCUGCUGAGGUCCAACAUGUCCAGUACGGGUCAACAAUCACUUUGGGCUGUAACAUCUCCUACAUUCACGACAUAACAUGGCUCAAGCACAACCCUGAUCUUACACCCACCGUGGUCCUCCGCGCAAGUCUCACAGAUGGAAAAGCAGCACAAGAGUUUCAGCUGAGCCCUCAUUUCUCUGUGGAUUUGAUGAACAGAUCUCUGGCAUUGAGGAUCAUUGAUGUGCAGGAGGGAGACGUGGGCAUGUACUAUUGUGUUGGCAAUUCGAAAUCAACUUUCAUCGUAGGGAGAGGAACAAAACUUCAAGUUUCCUCUACAGGGUCCACUUGGUUCCUUUUUCCCCACUGGUACAGUGUGGGUGUGGGGUUUGGCCUGCUGCUGAUGGUGCUGGCUGUUUGCAUCACCCACUGCAAAGCCAAGUCAAACGAGGACCCCGGCAACACGACAUUUUCACUGCAGGAAAUUCUCACCUGUCACUAAGGACGUCUAACAGCACCCUGAAUCCAGCAUGCGGGGUGGAUGCAGUUUCACAGUAUACCUGUGCUUUCUGAGCUUUGAUGAUUGGAGGAUAUUAGAAAUAAAUUGACGAUGACGAGGAGCCAAACAGUCAGGUCAGUCCAUGUGCAUAUUUGCACUGACUUCAGUACAACCAGAACCAAAACCGAUACCAAAUAUACAUGCUAAGUGAGUAUAAUCCUGCCACUGUGUCUAGAUGCUCUCAACUGAAAAUUGAAUGGAGCAUCAUUUUAUAGAUACAUUCUGACUGACUGUAGUUUUUUCUUUCUUUCGGGGUGUACUUCUGCCCCUCACAUAAUGAGUGGCUACUGCUUUAACUGUGAUUGUUUGUAUGCUUCCAGUACAAUUAGGAAAAAUAUUUAAUCUUAAUGAACUCCUUUUUUGACAGACAAGGUGUAAAAGGUUAUUAAAGCUUUUUAAAACCAGACACGUGCAGA